rnacentral:rRNA from 1 species
GAUGAACGCUGGCGGCGUGCUUAACACAUGCAAGUCGAACGAUGACUUUUGUGCUUGCACAAGAUGAUUAGUGGCGAACGGGUGAGUAACACGUGAGUAACCUGCCCCUGACUCUGGGAUAAGCCCGGGAAACUGGGUCUAAUACUGGAUAUGCACCGUGGACCGCAUGGUUCUUGGUGGAAAGAUUUAUUGGUCAGGGAUGGACUCGCGGCCUAUCAGCUUGUUGGUGAGGUAAUGGCUCACCAAGGCGACGACGGGUAGCCGGCCUGAGAGGGUGACCGGCCACACUGGGACUGAGACACGGCCCAGACUCCUACGGGAGGCAGCAGUGGGGAAUAUUGCACAAUGGGCGAAAGCCUGAUGCAGCGACGCCGCGUGAGGGAUGACGGCCUUCGGGUUGUAAACCUCUCUCAGUAGGGAAGAAGCGAAAGUGACGGUACCUGCAGAAGAAGCGCCGGCUAACUACGUGCCAGCAGCCGCGGUAAUACGUAGGGCGCAAGCGUUAUCCGGAAUUAUUGGGCGUAAAGAGCUCGUAGGCGGUUUGUCGCGUCUAUCGUGAAAGUCCGAGGCUCAACCUCGGAUCUGCGGUGGGUACGGGCAGACUAGAGUGAUGUAGGGGAGACUGGAAUUCCUGGU